rnacentral:rRNA from 1 species
GAUGAACGCUGGCGGCGUGCCUAAUACAUGCAAGUCGAGCGAACAGACGAGGAGCUUGCUCCUCUGACGUUAGCGGCGGACGGGUGAGUAACACGUGGAUAACCUACCUAUAAGACUGGGAUAACUUCGGGAAACCGGAGCUAAUACCGGAUAAUAUAUUGAACCGCAUGGUUCAAUAGUGAAAGACGGUUUUGCUGUCACUUAUAGAUGGAUCCGCGCCGCAUUAGCUAGUUGGUAAGGUAACGGCUUACCAAGGCAACGAUGCGUAGCCGACCUGAGAGGGUGAUCGGCCACACUGGAACUGAGACACGGUCCAGACUCCUACGGGAGGCAGCAGUAGGGAAUCUUCCGCAAUGGGCGAAAGCCUGACGGAGCAACGCCGCGUGAGUGAUGAAGGUCUUCUGAUCGUAAAACUCUGUUAUUAGGGAAGAACAAAUGUGUAAGUAACUAUGCACGUCUUUACGGUACCUAAUCAGAAAGCCACGGCUAACUACGUG